AGGAGUGGAUGCCGAGUUGCCAUAUCCUUCAUACCAGAGAUGGGACCAAGUCCCCAUGUCUGCUUCAUACUGAUAUUAUAUUAUAUUAUUACAUGAUUUCUUGUUUGACUAUUAAUCAAGUUAUAGCAAGAGUGAAAUGUGUAACCUUAUGUGUGCUGUAUUUCUUUUCCUCAAGAUGAAUGUCCACAUAAUAUGUGUGUGUACCCAACCGUAAUGAUAAGACACUUGCCAGUGCUAGAAAGCCUUGAAUUUUAGAUAAGUUCUCUGUGUAUGUGUGUUAGUAUCUGUCUGUACAGGGAGAAGCUCAGACAGUCCCAGGACAAACAAUCAACUGCCAGUGUCCAGCGUAUCAGAUCUACGUCUUUGGAGAGUUUUAUCUAGGUUUUGGAACCAAUCAGAAUUUUGUUGACUCAUGUAUUGACGCAAUUAGUAUCCUCUGUCAGGGUAUAACUGUGCUUGAUUUUGUAUUGUACUGGGGGCGGCCUGCGAACUCCUUCGAGAGUGUUGAAGCUGACUUCUGCUGAUGAAAUUGCAAACUAUUUUCUUCAAUUAAUGGUGGAGGAUCGGCGGGCAAUAGUUCUUUGUUGACAUCCCUGAUCAAUCAUCAAACCAAGGUAGGAAAGAUUUUAGAUUUAAUAUUAUUGGUUAGGGACUGUCUGUAAGUGGAGGGGGUCGAGAGAAGGAGGAACGAUAGACUCACUCAGACGUGAGGGGGUAGACACCAGCUCCAGGGUGGAGUAGGUAAAUUGGUGUCACAAUAUACCUGUAAAUAAGUAACCUUGUGAGUAUAAGGGGUACAAGUACACAUCGGUAGGUCUUGAUAUAAGAUAUUUAGAGAUGUGUACAGUUACAGAGGGAACAGGUGCACACCUAUAGGUCUUAGAGAGAGACGUAAAAAUUUGUUUCUAGGUGUGCACAGUCCGGGGGGGGACAAAAACGCAUUCUUAACAGGCAUGUGAACCCGUAAAGGGCAGUGCUGGGUCAAGCACCGAGGGACAAGGGACACAUAGGGCCGUAAAUAGGCAGUGCUGGGUCAACCACAGAGAGCCAAAAAGCACGAGAGGCCAUAAAGGGCAGUGCAUUUACGGCCGGGUAAGCCAAAGUAGGGGUAUGGGAAAUCCCGAGAAGAAUGUAAGACGCUAGACGGGGGUUCUAGUCGUAUCUCGCUCUUCCAACUCUCGAUCACCCACCAUUACAGACAGGGGCGCCCCGAGCUUAGAAAUAGGCCAGGUCAGUGGUUAGGGAAAAGAGUAUCCAAAAUUAGUGUUUAAAAAUAAAUAGUGAUAAUUCAUAUGUGCACCUAUAAAAAUAUAGGGAUAUAUGCAAAGGGAAAGUAUUGAUUGAUCUGGGAUGCCUCAGGAACAACCCCAAAAGAGCUAAAAUGUAGUUUUCAUGACCCUGAUUGGAUUGGACCAGUAUAUGGAAAUUCUGGAAUAUACUUUGCAAUUUCAUCACGCAGAAGUCAAGUGCUGUUGGUAAGAUCGCCGCCUCAAUAUGUUUUUGGUUUAUGAUAGAAAUAUGACUGACAAAUUAGGUAACCUGGUCAGCCCUGAUAGAAAUAAUGAAACAGAAGAGAGCAAAUGCUGUAAACAGUUUGGCUCUGAAGCUCUGACUUUAAAAAUAUAUAUAUAUUCUCUGAAUUCAUUUAAAGAAUGAUCAGUCUGAGCUUUAAUUCUGAUUGUAAUGUUAAAACAAAAACUUGAUUGGCUUUAAACUUAGAAAGAACCUGAGAAAUAAACAUUUAUAAAUGUAUGUGCCGAUUUGUUAAAAAUAAUCCCAGAAGUAACUGAGUGAUGAUUUAAUCUGAUUCUCUGUGCAUAGAAGGUUUAAAUGACAAAGAAUGAUAUCAUAAGACCUGUUCCAGUUCCUAUAUAAUUGUUGAAAGUCCUGACAAGGAAUACUGAACAGAAUUCUGGGUUAGUGAAAAAAAAAAAAAAAAAAAAAAAAAAAAAAAAACUGAAGGCACACAAAUUGGCAGUGGCAUUUUGGAAAAACUUAGAAGCUUAUGUUUUGCUUUAAAAAAGAUAAAAUUACUUUGACUACAAUGACGCCGUUGUUUUAUCUCAUGCUGGCCCCCACCAUGACUCUGGCUUAAGCUUUAAAAGUACCAGAGACAUGUUCUGAGUAAAAAAAAAAAAAAAUGUAAUUCCUAUAUUUACUAAUGUUUGGCCAAAAGAGUAAUUUUAUUGUUGGAUUGCAAAAUUGUAGUCACGCAGCAUCAUAAAAAAAGAAAAAAGAAGAGAAAAGAAAAUUAUUGUUUGUUUAUGAGAUGAUAAAGUUGUAAACAAGUAACAUAAACGGGGGUUUCAAAGUAACUUUGAAGACAGCAUGCUAGCAAGACCCAAAGUAAUAUACCUGGGUCAGAUAACCUCUGACAGAUUUAAAACCAAUGUUGAAAUUCAGAAGCCAUGGCCAGAAUUAAGUGAAUGGAUAAAUACAAGUUGAUGUAAAAGUAAUGACAAUGACUGCAAAGAACUUUGAGAAACAUUUGAGUUGCGAAAAUAAAGUACAAAUAUACAAAUAUAAAGAUGUUUAUUUUUAAAAUGCAUAUAAUUUCUGACAAGUUUUAAACUGGGCUAGAGUAAAAUGAUAGUACGAUGAAAUUAUGUUAAAAAUGAAUGAAAAUGCAUUGUUACGAGUCCUGAAUCCCUCAGAGUUCUCUCUCUCUCUCAUUCAAAGUAAGCUAAAAUGCCGUUAUCUGAGCUUGUGUUUAAGUGAUAAGAUAUUUAUAGUACAGCACAGUGUUUCAGUCAAAUCAUAGGCAGAGAUGCUAAAGGACAUGCUAAAAAGAGUUCAGAUUUAAUGCAUUAAGAGGGCAAUUGGUAGUUAAAUGUUCAACUGCCCAAUGCAUGUAAGAAAUAAGAGAUUAUAAAAAUAAUGAAUAACAAUUUAGGAGCAAUUGUUGAAGAGACAUGAGGGCUUUAAAAUCAUAAUACAGACCCUGAGCUAUAGAUGUAAUAAUUUUGAAUAGUUAAACAGUUGUAUUGCUAUUUGUUCUAUGACCAGUAACUUAUCUGUCUUAUUUUUAGUCUCCACCAUCAUACAGGGCCUGAUGGCUGCAGCUACAGAAGCAACAGGAAAUUACAAUGAAUGGACGGGUGUGAAAAAUAAAUUGACUGAGUAAUCUCAGCAUGAUAGUUUGGAGGUAUACAAUUGAGUUUAGCGAUUAAAUAUUAGUUUGAUUAACCUUUUUCAAUGUUUUAACACUAGUAGGUGCUGUCAAUGGCUCUCAUGGUUCUUGAGUGCACCUUUCCUAAGCUGCAGGAAAUACUGGAUUCUGGAAGAAGACUGUCGAGGAUGUUGCAACGGGAAAGAGUGGUUACCAGUGUGCAUGAGGUGAUUUCUCAAUGACGGGUAAGAUCCUCUUCUGGCCAAUAGGGGACAACCUAAGGCAGGGGGUCACCGCCACUGGGCACCUGCCCUGAAGGGAGGUGUUAUAUGUGAGAUGGUAGUGGAGUUGAGCGGAUGCUUGAUAGGCCUAGAGCAUCAUUAAGAGGGGAACUGUAUGAAGUACAGCGAUCUGCCUCAAAAUGUGAGCUCCUCCAGACCUGAUCACCAGCAACCACAUUCCUUGACUGAUUGUUGUGACAAGCGUCCACAACUUGAUGCAACUAUGCCAGUGGAUCACACCCUGAGGACAAGGAGCUUAUUUAUAAAAAGUUAAUGGCAAUGGGCUUUCAAGAACCAUCUGAGACCAUGUGAUGACAGCCAUUAUUUUGAGACAAAAAUUUCUUAUGAGGCUAAAAUGAUAUUGAACUAAUAUGUCUAUAUCAUAGUCUUUACUCAUGCAGGUCAUUAGGCAUGACACAAGAUGAUAACAAGAUAUGGUGGUGGCUAAAAAUGAAGACUGCUUCUGCUUAAUCAAGAGAUGGUUUAGAUAACAAAGGUUAAGGGAAUUAAGCAUGUAAGGUAAAAAUAAUUUUAAAGAAAUGUUCCUAGCCUUAUGUAUUUUAAACAGUUUAAACUGAGAUUUUAGAUCUAGAAACUUUGACAUUUUUAACUUAUUUGAAUAAUUUAGGGUUAUAUGUUGUAAUGAAUUUUAUAUUAUAGUCUAAGUUAAAGUUUGGCAAAAAUUGUCAAAAUAAAUAAAUAAUAUUUUGCACAGUAAGAGAGAGAGAGAGAGUGCUUGAGUGGAGGCAGGGAUGGUGCUCUUCUUCUAUUAUUGGCCUGCUAAGAAAGAGUAACCAAAACAGAGCAAUAAUUUUAAGACCAAAACAACCCAGCUGAUUUUUCUCUAAAUAAAAAUCAUUAAUGAGCAGGCAAACUUUGAGAUUAGAUAAGAGAUUAGGUACAAACUUGGUAAAAUGCACAGACAAUGUUUGAGUUUAAAUCCUUCCGAUUUAAUACCAAAAGGAAAACCUUAAAUAUGAGCUGUUAAAAUAUAAAUGUGUUAAGUAUGUGCAUGCAUGAGGAUGGCUAUAUAUAUAUUAUUGGGGGACAAUUCUGUUCCUGUUAUGUUUCAAUUGAGUCACUAACCUCUGGAAUGAGUGUUUUAUCAUUACAGAUGUGUUAAGUGAAAUUACUUUACAGAAGUCCAUAAUUCUGAGUGAAACUAAUGAAAAGACAAUGCCAAACAUGGGACGAGCUUUAAGAGGAUUGGCUAUAACGCUGAUUUAAAUCACUCUCUGGAUUAAUAUGUUUAAGAGUGUUUAUAUGAUUGGAUUUGUGAAAUUUAAGUUUGCCGUCCAAAAUGGGUUUAAAAUCCAUGCCUAAAUUUAAAUGAGGGUCUAAAUUUUAACAAGUUAACACUUUGUUGUUUGAAUGGUAAAGGUAAAUAUUUUAGACUUGACGGCAGAAAAACAGUGACAGAUUGGCUACGUCACUAACCAAAUUAUCCAGAGAGCACCCUCACAUAAAGAAGCCUGGUGGGAAAACAAAGGAGUGAAUCCUGCUUGUGUAAUAUAGUGCAAAAGCUUUAUGUAGUGGUUUAUGUAGAACAGAGAUAAGUUGAACAAAAACGUUUGGAUAGCCCCUUAAUGGAGCAAAUCCAUAACAAGAGGUUUGAAUUAAUUGAAAUAGCACAGCAAAAAAAAAAAUAAUAAUAAUAAAUUUUGUUUGAACAAAACAAUUGUAAUAGGCUCUAUGGAGCUGCUUAUGAACACUUGUCAAGUCAAAUUAAUAUUGUGAACACUGACAGGUCUUUUUGAUAAUGUAUACUGUUUCAAUACAGAUUUACAGAAACUGAGGAUGUCUCUUUAAUAAAUAUUUGGCUGUUUAGAACUAAGUAAUAGUAUUGUUCAUUUAGUAAUAAUAUUGGGAAAUCUGUCUGCUCUUUUUCAGUUUAUAAUAAUUUUGAGUAAAUUAAUAUCACUGCCAAAUGACAAACAUGAACGAGGGUUUUUAAGACAUUGAUCAAGUAGCUGACCUGUAAGCAUUUAUCACUGACAAAACAGUGAGAACUAAAUUGACUUUAUACUAAGUAUUGAGGAUUUGCUUCUGAAUGUGUCACUAAUAUAGUCUGAGUACAGUAAUAUGGUAUGAUAAUUGACAAGAUUUGCAUUUAAAAAAAAAAGAAGGUAAUAAUAAGGCAAUGAGUAUGGUUAACAGUAAUGUCAUGGUAUAAAAUAAAUACAUGCAUGACAAUAAGUGGAUAGGUUAGUUGUAUUUUAAAAGUUAGACACUUCGAUACUUAAAAUGUAAUUUUAACCAAAUGUCUUAACAAUGACAAGGUUAAUGGUUCAUGUAUGUUUAAACAGCAUGUGAACUAUGAUGACUGCAAUUGGAUUUGUGGUGAAAGUAAAGCUUAAUAAAAGGGCUAUUAAGUAAUAAACUAGGAACUGCUCUAGGUUUUCGAGGAAAUAAUGAUUAUGAUUAUUUUUAUUUUUAAAGAUGGCUCAAUAUUGAUCUUACUUAUUUUUGGUUUGUUUAUUUUUGUGUUUUUAACACCAAGUUUGGAAUGAAAGGGUAAAAUGGAUAUUCAAUCUCUAUAAUUGUACCAUUGAUCGGGAAAAUGAUAGAUUUUCAUAAAAUAAGGGUAUCUUUACUGGGAUUUAGGUUAUAAGCAAUGUCUGUAUUUGGUAUCUGUGAGGUGACUGAGGACCUGACAUAUGUCAGGAAUGCAAUAACAGUGGUUAUUCAUUUAGCCCGGCUUCCAGAGAAUAAUAUAUAUAUACGUUUAUUGUAAUGAGUUUAUUUUACUAUAUGACCAAAUUAACUAAAAUUCAUCAUAGUUGUAUAAGACAUGUUAAAAGAAAACAAAUAAGACAAAUAUCCUUCUUAAGGGUUAAAUUUUUUUUUUUGAAUUGGUUAUAGUGUAUGCGUUUUUCUUUAAUGAUUUGUUAAAUCUGGUUAAUGAAUAUGCAAAUUUAGUCUUAAGGCUGUUGGAUAAAUGUUUGGUUUUAGAGGGUAAGUGUGAAGUAGCUGUAGUAGGAAGAGAGGUAUUUACAAAGAUAUGUUGAUGAAAGUGAGGACACUUUUCCAGGUAGAGGGACACACAGAAUGAUUCACUGGAAAAGACAUUAUGUGAAGAAAGACUAGUGCAAGUGCCGAUAUUGUGGGAUUAAGUAAGUAGAUUAAUGUAUAUGGGAAAUAAGAAUGUAUAUGGGAAGUAUUUUGUACAAAAUAAUGUGUUUAUUACUAGAAAUGUCAGCCAGUACCAGAGAUUUUAAGUAUGCACAUGUUUAAGUUGACCAACAGUCUGCAUUCUUAGCAUGCAUCACAACGACACCUGACCUCAUUUAUUAGACCAGAUGUGGGGUAUUAGACCCCACAUUGAUCUAAGACGGGGGACUGAAGGAGUGGAUGCCGAGUUGCCAUAUCCUUCAUACCAGAGAUGGGACCAAGUCCCCAUGUCUGCUUCAUACUGAUAUUAUAUUAUAUUAUUACAUGAUUUCUUGUUUGACUAUUAAUCAAGUUAUAGCAAGAGUGAAAUGUGUAACCUUAUGUGUGCUGUAUUUCUUUUCCUCAAGAUGAAUGUCCACAUAAUAUGUGUGUGUACCCAACCGUAAUGAUAAGACACUUGCCAGUGCUAGAAAGCCUUGAAUUUUAGAUAAGUUCUCUGUGUAUGUGUGUUAGUAUCUGUCUGUACAGGGAGAAGCUCAGACAGUCCCAGGACAAACAAUCAACUGCCAGUGUCCAGCGUAUCAGAUCUACGUCUUUGGAGAGUUUUAUCUAGGUUUUGGAACCAAUCAGAAUUUUGUUGACUCAUGUAUUGACGCAAUUAGUAUCCUCUGUCAGGGUAUAACUGUGCUUGAUUUUGUAUUGUACUGGGGGCGGCCUGCGAACUCCUUCGAGAGUGUUGAAGCUGACUUCUGCUGAUGAAAUUGCAAACUAUUUUCUUCAAGUAAAAUUAUUAUUAUUAAUUGAACUCA